CGGCCCUCCGCCUGCGCUCCCGUUUGCGUCCUCGCGCGCCACUCCCGGGGGAUGGCGGGUGGCGGCGGGAACGAAGGCCGGGCCGACUCCGCGAAGGGAAGCUGCAGGCGGUGGCCUUUUCUGCGAGCCCCAGUAGGGCCUGGACCCGUGCCCUGUGUGUCAGAGAUGAGGGUGUGUUUUAAUAAACUUAUUUACGAGAGUGUUGGCAAACGAGAAGGAAGCAUUGGGCACAGUGAGUGUUAAAUUCUUGAAGUAAUUAGGAGACUGGAUGAGUUUACUUUGUAAAAUUUUACUUAUAAGUACUGUGUUCUUGGCACUGAAUUCCUAAGUUAAAACCUCAUUUAGCAGUCCUCUGCGUUUGUUUAUAUUGACCUGGAAAUCUUGGAAAAGUAAAAUUAUGUAUUUUAGGACACGAUUGUUUAUAUCCAGGUUUUUUGCUGUAAGGCUGUCAGGUUCAGGGAAUAUGCAUAAUUAAGGAAGUAAAUACAGUACAUCUAAACUUGUAAGUUAUUUUGAGUGGUUUAGUCAGGAUGUUUAUACACAGUUGUUAAAAGUACUGUUUUUAAACUUUUGAGCUUUUUGAUCGUAAGACCCCUUUUAAAUUAAGUUACGAUUAAGUAGCAUUUUAAAACGUGUCAUUAGUGUACAAUUAUAGUUUAUGUGGGAAAUGAACCCUUUUUGGAUAGUUAUUUUGCAAUCACAGCUAGAGGAUAUUUUCCUCUUCACAAAAUUGAAACUUGAAUUUGAGAGAUUAGGGAAUUUUGCAAGUGUAGUAAAGAGAAAGUUUGUAAAUCAUUUAGUUCAGACUUGUUAGAAAUAUAGACCAAUGUUUCAAACUGUAGAUUCGUUGAGUCAUUAAAUCAAAUUAAUCAUCAGAAUUUUU